CAAAUAAUAAUUAAGCAAAGAAGUCAAGUAGGUAGUGAAAAUUGAAGAUACUAUUACUAACUUGUGACAUUAUAUGCAGAAAGUGAGGGGAUAGAGAUAAACAGGAUAAAGCAGGCGAAAAUUAUGGCUCCAUUUAAUUAUGGUGUAAAACAAUUGCCAUUGGAUGAGGUUGAGAAAAUAUCAACUGCUUCUCAGUAGUGCUUAAUAAUUCUAAGCCACGUGAGUUUGGAUGGGUGAUUGGGUGUGGUGCGGUGAGUUUAGUUUACUUUUUAUUUCACGUUACAGUAUCGCUACAGUAUCUAAACUCACCGCCACAGAAUUUUUUACACUAACCGUAAGUAAAAACACCGUUCAUUCAAACCCAUAAAAGUAACAAUAUUCAAAAGUGAAAGUUACUUGUGCUUAGUAAAUAAUGUGUUAUAAUUCGGUAAGGAAUGAAUUUAAACAUGCUUGAUAACGAUUGGUGAGAGAUGCAACGAAAAUACAUUCAAGAAUUUUGAUAUAUUAAUCUAUUGACAAUGCCUCCUUUUUGUUUUUCGAAAUUGACUGCUCAAAACCAGAAACAAUGCCUUUAAAAAUGUGGGACAACCAAAUAAGAACCUAGUUUGAAUAAAUUGCAUUGUCUUUCCCCUGUUUCUUGUUUUCCACCUUUUUCCUUAAUGAAUAAAUUUGUUUUUGAUUGAAAAAAAAUUAAAAUAAUUAUUUGAAUGAACUAAUGUUUUUAUAAUAAUAAAUAAUUCAAAUUUUACUAAAUAAAAAAAUUACAGUAAUUAAAUCUCAAAUUUAAACAUAUAUAAUAAAAGGAUCAUAAUUAUAAUUAUAAUAUGACCGAAUAUAAUAUAUAUCAAACACAAAUUAUAUCAAAUAAAAAUGUAGCAACUAAAUCAUAAAUUUGCAUAUAGUAAAAAGAUAAAUUUACUGAUUAAAAAUUUAAUUAAAAUUCUUAAUUAAUAAAUAAAAAAUUUCAAUCAUCUAGAUUUUAUAUUGAAGAUAUAAUUAUUUUACAUAAACAUCUAUCUAAAUUUUAAUAAACAUUAGAAUAAAUAUCAUCAUUUAAUAUAAAAAAAAUUAUAAUAAGUUAGUUUCAAUUAUAUUCAAAUACUUUAUGACCAAUUAAAUUAAUUAGGUAGCAAUUUUUUAGGGAAUGUAGCUAUUCUUAUUAUUUAUUAUUAAGGUUUAAGGGUGAAGAAACUCUUAAAUUUUUUUUAGAAAAAGUAAUUAAGUUUUUUUUUACACUUAAUUGGGUAUUUAAAUUACCAAAAUAUAUCAAAAAGACCUUUUGGCCGUUUAUUUUAACAAUUGACUGUUAAAGUUGUCUUUAAACUUUUCCAGUUAAAUCCACCACGUGUCACAACUACGGCGUGACACGUGACAAAAAAUUAUAAAAAAAUAAAUCAACAAAAGUUAUAAAAAUUAUUAAAUUUUAAAAAAUAUAUUUAAAAUUUAUUAAAAAUUUUAAAAAAUAUAAAUAUCGUAAAAUUUUAUAAAAUCAUAAAUAAAUAUAAAAUGUAUCAAAAGGGCCCUUUAACUAUUGAUCGUUAAAGUUAAUUACCCUACUUUUUUUCAAUUAAAGUAAUCACGUGUCGCAACACAACGUGACAUGUGACAAAAAAAUGUGGAUUGGUUGUGAGGAUGUUGUAAUUGAUUUAAUUCAUAAUGUUGUUGUCUAAGUUGCUUGCUAGAUGAUGUAGUCGGCUCGACUAUGGGUUGACUAGGGAUUGCAGGAUGGAGUGGCUACUCGUAAUGGCAAGGCAAUUGUACCGACAUGUUUUACUCAAUGGUGUUGAUAUCGUAACUUCAAAAGUGUAUGCAAUUUGAAUUGCUCUAGAUGUUUUUGUGCAAACAGAAUGGAUCCCUCAUAGUAGAAUCUCAAAUGUGUUUGUGGAAUCUCGUAUGCUUAACAAUAUCACUCAAAUGUGUCAAGGGAAGUUAUUUGUAUGGAUGCUGCCUUGGCUAAUAAACGAUAGGGUAUUAAAAUUUGAGUUGUUUUUGGGUUGGUGGACAUUUAUUUUUUGCUUUAUUGUUCUGGUCUCCAAUGGACUGCUUCAGGCGAGACGCAUAUUAGAUGUGCCUUGUAGUGUGUUUCUUAUGGGUUCUGUUUGUGUUUCGACUUUUUUUUAUUUUGUUGCUCUGUUCUGGUCUUUUUGUUGUACGGAAGCGUGUAAAAGAGUAAAAUUAUUGUACUAAAAAAUCACACUAAGUUCAAUUUCCAGGAAAGAGAGGUGGAUCAUAAGGAUCGCUUAAGUACCAGGUCUUUCCUAGCCAUAAUAUACCCCAAUCGUAAUUUAAUAUCACAAUAAAUCACUACAAUAAAACUCACAAAAUAUGCAGAAUAAUACCAUAAAGAACACAAGAAUUUUAACGAGGUUCAGUAAAUUUUGCCUACGUCCUCGGGCACUAUCAAAUAUAUUUCACUCCAAAAUACAAGUGAAAAUUUACAAAGAGAUAGAGAACAAUGCCUUAAGUAGAGAAUGACAAAUAUAGGAUACUAUAAAUGAGAGAUGGUUAGGCCUAUUUAUAGUUGAGGUUCAGGGAUCAACUUGCAAAGGCACUAUACAAUUAGGGACCAAAUAUUGCAAAUAUCUCAGAUUUCUUAUGUCAAUAUUUCGAAACCCAUAUCUUUGACUUUCCAAUAUUUGAUACCCAUAUCUUUGACUUUCCAUAAUAUGGAUGAUUGUCAAUAAUCUCCACCUUGAAGGUUUGAUUCGAAUAAUCUUAUCUUUACACAAUUCUCUCUGCCUUUGUCAACAACACUUGAUAGUGCCUUCUUCAACUGUUAAACUUGCAGAAUAUUGAUCAAGUUCAAACAAUGUUCAAACUUUAUUGUUGUUACCACCUUGGUCAUCAUAUUUGUGGGAUUAUCUGCAGUCUUAAUCUUCUAAUUUUCCCCUCAUCAAUAAUUUCCCACACAAAAUUGAAACGUAUGUCGAUAUGCUUUGUACGUGCAUGAUAGACUUGAUUCUUUGCUAAAUGAAUAGCACUUUGACUAUCACAAUACACGUUAAUAUGCUCUUGAACCAAGCCUAAGGUUUUAACCAUACCUUGUAACCAAGUAGCUUUAUUUACAGCCUCUGUUACAGCCAUGUAUUCGGCUUCUGUGGUUGACAACGCAACUGUAGACUGCAGUAUAGACUUCCAACUUAUUCGUCCUCCAACAAGUGUAAACACAUAACCGGUGGUUGAUCUUCGUUUGUCCAAAUCACUGCCAUAAUCAGAAUCAACGUACCCAAUAUCACCUUUACCAAGUGUAGUAUCCUGCUUAAACAGUAAUCCAAUAUUCAUGGUCUUCUGAAUAUACCGUAGAAUCCAUUUCACAACUUGCCAAUGUCCUUUUCCAGGAUUAUGCAUAUACCUGCUCACUAUACUAACUACCUGUGAAAUGUCGGGUCUUGUACACACCGUUGCAUACAUCAAGCUACCUACUACAUUAGAAUACGGAACUUGUAACAUGUAUUCUUGUUCUGUAUUCGUCGAAGGAGAUAGUUGUACAGAAAGCUUGAAAUGACAAGCCAACGGGGUACUUAUAGCUUUUGUCUGCUCGUUCUUGCCAAACUUCUGUAGUACCUUCUUCAAAUAUUGCUUCUGAGACAAGCUAACUCUGCCAUGAGCUCUAUCUCUACAUAUUUCCAUGCCAAGAAUCUUCUUAGCUUCACCUAGAUCUUUUAUCUCAAACUCAAGGUUGUGUUGAGUCUUCAAUCUCUCAAUUUCAACUUUACUCUUAGAUGCUAUCAACAUAUCAUCAACAUAUAAGAGCAAGUAUAUGAAAAUUCCUUCUUGUAGCUUCUAAAAAUACAUGCAAUGAUCAAAUUUACUUCUUUUGUACCUUUGCCCUUUCAUGAACUGAUCAAAUCGCUUGUACCACUGCCUCGGAGAUUGUUUCAAUCCAUAAAACGACUUUGUUAGUUUGCAAACCCAAUUUUCUUUAUUAGCAACCUUGAAUCCAUUUGGCUGAGUCAUAUAGAUAUCAUCUUCUAAAUCAGCGUGUAAAAAUGUGGUCUUCACAUCAAGCUGAACUAGUUCAAGAUCAUAUUGCACAAAUAAGGCUAGCAAAAUCCGAAUAGACGAAUGCUUCACAAUUAAAGAAAACAUUUCAUUGUAGUCUAUUCCUUCUUUCUGAGUGUAACCUUUUGCUACCAAUCUAGCCUUGUAUCGAACUUCAUUUUUACCAGGAAAUUCUUCUUUCUUUGUAUUUACCUAAUUGCAUCCAAUUGCCUUCUUUCCUUUGGGUAGUGUCACCAACUCCCAAAUCCUAUUUUUAUGAAGAGACUGCAUUUCUUCAUUCAUAGCUUGCUUCCAUUUUACACCAUCAGGGUUACUUCUUGCUUCUUUGUAAGUAGAAAGAAUAUCGUCAUCUGCAAUUAGAAGUGCAUAGGCCAGCAUACCAUCAAAGCGAGCAGGCAUACGAAUCUCUCUUCUUGCCCUCCUAUAUGCAAUUGAAUCUUGUUGUUGUAGAAGUUCUUGGGUCGAAACUUCUACAUCAUUUGUUCCUUCAAUAUUAGCUAGAUCAUCAUUAACAUUUUCUAGCUCCACCUGCUACAAAGCACUACUAGUUUUGUCAUCCUUUUGUGAAUCAUUAUUCUUCAUCAUGGUUGAUUCAUCAAAAGUCAUAUCUCUACUGAAAACAAUCUUCCUUGUAUCAGGAUACCAGAGACGGUAUCCUUUUACUCCACCAGUUAUACCCACGAAUAAUGCUUUCUUUGCUCUUGGAUCUAACUUAGAUUCUUUUACAUGAUAAUAUGCAGUAUAACCAAAAACAUGAAAAGAAUCAUAAUUAGUAGUAGGUUUACCAGUCCACCUCUCCAUAGGAGUUUUUCUAUUUGUUGCAGCUGAUGGCAACCGGUUAAUUAGAUGACACCCAUAUGUAACUGCCUCAACCCAAAAUUCUUUGUCCAAUCCAGCAUUGGACAACAUACAUCGAACUUUCUCCAGUUGAGUCUGAUUCAUACGUUCUGCCACCCCAUUCUAUUGUGGUGUAUCCCAAAAAGUGAAGUGUCGCACAAUGCCCUCAUCUUGACAUACUUGUAGAAAUGGAUCAUUCUUGUACUCAGUACCAUUGUCUGAUCGAAGUCGUUUGAUCUUUCGACCAGUCUCGGUCUCCACCAACUGCUUCCAUUUCAAAAAUGCAUCCAAAAUUUCAUUUUUUUUCUUUUCAUAAGAUACACCCAUACUUUUCUUGAAUAAUCAUCAACAAAAGUAACAAAAUAGUGCAUACCUCCCAAAGAAGCCACUUUAGUAGGUCCCCACACAUCACUGUGAACGUAGUCUAGAAUUCUUUUUGUAUUGUGAAUUACUGAACCAAAAUUUAUCCUCGUCUGCGUGCCCAGAAUACAAUGUUCACAGAAUUCCAAUUUGCAAGAAUUUGCACCUUUCAACAAGCCUUGCUUCGCUAAACUCUGCAAAGCUUUUUCACCAGCAUGUCCCAAUCAUAUAUGCCAUAACCUGGUUGCCUCUGAAUCUGCAUCUUUUGCAGAAGUUGUUGAUAUUGAUCCAAUAAUUGUACUUCCAUUUAAAUAGUACAUGUUAUUCCUUCUUGUGCCUUUCAUCACCGUCAAUACCCCAGCUACUACUUUUAGUAAUCCAUCUCUCAAAGUGAUUGUGAGCCCUUAAGAUUCUAGGACCCCUAAUAAGAUGAGAUUUUUCUUCAAGCUAGGUAUGUAGCGAACAUCUGUCAAGACUUGAAUUGAGCCGUCGUGAUUCUUCAAAUGGAUUGUACCUACUCCCAUUGUCUUAUAAGCGCUGUCAUUGCCCAUAAAAAUAACUCCACCUUCUAGUUCUUUAAGACUAGAAAACCAGUCCUUAUUAUGACACAUAUCAUAAGUACAUCCCGAAUCCAAAAUUCACUCAUCUGUAUGAAAUGCCAUUGCCAUGCUAAACAAGCUAAAGUCUGACUCAUCAUCAUGCUUUGCUACACAUGCAUCAGAAAUAGCCUUGCCCUUUUGUAACUUAGGACAAUUUUUUUCCAAUGCCCUUUCUCAUGACAAAAGGCAUAUUCAUCUUUGGCAGGUCUCCCUUUGGACUUACUCCUUCUACCAGAUUUGUUGCUGUGCGAACGACCUCUUACUGUUAAGACUUCUGCAGUUGUAUCUCUGUGAUAUCUUUUAUCUUUCUUUCGAGUCUCAGAUCUAUACAACGCACUACAGACUGCAUCAAACGUGAUUGUAUCCUUCCCAUGAAGCAAUGUGGUGGUAAGAUGAUCAUAUUCAUAAGGAAGAGAAUUCGACAACAAUAAUGCAUUGUCUUUAUCUUCAAAUUUCUCAUCCAAAUUUAGCAAGUCUGGUAAAAUUUUAUUGAAUAAGUUCACAUGGUUAUUCAUCAACAUACCGGGUGUAUACGUGAAUCAAUAAAGUUUCUUUUUCAUAUAAAGCCUAUUUUCAAGACUUUUUGUUAGAAACUUUUCUUCUAGUGUAUCCCACAACUUUUUCACUGAUGUCUCCCUCAUGACAGAGUACUUCUGCUCUUUGGCCAAACAUAGGCGGAUUAUUCCACAUGCUUGUCUAUUGAUCUUGCUCCACUCCUUGUCAUCCAUCUUGUCAGGUUUUUCUUUAAGGGUUAUACCCAGCUCUUGCUGACAUAAGACAUCCAGGAUCUCACAUUGCCACAUACCAAAAUUAUUGGUACCAUCAAAUUUCUCUACUUCAAAUUUUGCAUUGGUCACAGUAGUCUUUGUUGAUGACGAUGUCUUUUCCAUUUUUCUCCUCAAUCCCAACUAUUGUACGUGAACAGUGCCGUGAACGAUCGUAUUCCCCAAGUACAAAUCUAGCUUUGAUACUAAUUGUUGUGCGGAAGCAUGUAAAAGAGUAAAAUUAUUGUACUAAAAAUUCACACUAAGUUCAAUUCCCAGGAAAGAGAGGUGGAUCAUAAUGAUUGCUUAAGUACCAGGCCUUUCCUAGCCAUAAUAUCUCCCAAUCAUAAUUUAAUAGCACAAUAAAUCACUACAAUCACACUCACAAAGUUUGCAGAAUAAUACCAUAAAGAACACAAGAAUUUUAACGAGGUUCAGCAAAUUUUGCCUACGUCUUCAGGCACUAAAAUUUUGUCUAUGUCCUCGGGCACUACCAAAUAUAUUUCACUCCAAAAUACAAGUGAAAAUUUACAAAGAGAGAGAGAGAACAAUGCCUUAAGUAGAGAAUGGAAAAUAUAGGAUACUAUGAAUGAGAGAUGGUUAAGCCUAUUUAUAGUUGAGGUUCAGGGAUCAACUUGCAAAGUCACUAUACAAUUAGGGACCAAAUAUUGCAAAUAUCUCAGAUUUCUUAUGCCAAUAUUUCGAUACCCAUUUCUCUGACUUUUCAAUAUUUGAUACCUAUAUCUUUGACUUUCCAUAAUAUGGAUGAUUGCCAAUACUUUUUUUUUAUUUUAGUUUUGAAGUUUGUAUGAUUCUAGAUUGAAGUAUAGCUUUAUUAGGGAUAUUAUGUUUCUAGUUUUUAUGGGUAAAUUAUACUUGUGGUCACCUAACUAUUAGUUUGUUUGUUUUUUGUCGGUCAACUAUAAAAAGUUACAAAAUAGUCUUUCAACUAAUACCAAAUUUCGUUUUUGAUCAUCGAACUAUGAAAAAUUAUAAGAUGACUACGUAACUAUUUAAUUUUAUUUUUUUCACCAACGGGCUAAAGGCGACAGCUUUUAAAAUUGACAUAACGGAAAUUUUAACACUCAACAUUUAUACAUUAUCAAUUUAGUCUUGAUUCUAAAAAUUCUAACCUCAACUUUUCACAUUGUGUAAUUUGGUCUUUUUUUUAAUUUUGCUUUUCUUUUUGCCCUUUUCACCUAAAAACAGAGACGGAUUUAGGGGGGUUGGCAGGGGCUCUAAACCCCCAAAAAUAGAAUAUCUGCCAUUUUGGCCCUUUAAAUUUUUUAAAAUUUUAAAUUGCUAAAGGUAAAAUUACACUUUGGCCCCCUAAAAAUGAUAAAAUUUUUAUUUAAUCCUUUCAAAAAUAUAAAGAUAUAGACAAUUUAAUUUUUCCCCCUACAAUUUUUUUCUUAGCUUUGUCCCUGCCUAAAAAGCUAAAAAACCAAAUUUAUCAACUAAAUUUGAUUAAAAAUAUAUAAUAAAAACAAGAUGAAAACACUCAAAAUUUCAAGAUAAUAAUUGUCAUAUUUUUGUAACACCCCUUAACCCUAAUUCGUCGCCAGAUCAGGGUUACGAGACAUUACCGGACAUAUCAGACAAUCUAUAAAUAAUUUCUUAAAUAAAUAACAAACAUAUUAUAAUAUAAUCGUAAAUUUAUAUAAAUAUUUAUUUUACUAAUUGAGUUCAUUUUAUUAUUAUUUUAUUUUAUGUGAUUAAAAAAAAGUCAAUAUAACCCCUUUAUAAAUAGUUAACCUUCCCUACAAUUUCAAACCGCAACCAAUUCACAAUUCAUACAAUUUCAUGUUCAAAUAACGUAAACAUAUCUUAAACAUUAACUUAGUAAUUUACUAAAUAAAUAUUCACAUAUAUUGUUUAAAUAAAUAAACUUCAUUCAUUCAAUUUUAGUUUUAGCACCAAACAUACCAUUAUAUAACUUAACGUUUCAUUUAUCAUUCAAACAUUAUAGACCAAUUCUUUACAACCAAAACUUACAAGACUCUUUAAUAAGACUGAAGUACAUGCCAUAUUUACCAAAGGAAAAAUACAUCACCAAAGUUAUGUUGAAGUCGAGAUUGAUUUGGAUGCUAAACCGGGACCUUUGACUUCUAUCGACAUGCACACAGAAACAACCGUACACUGAGUAUUUCAUACUCAGUGGUAUUACAAUAAUUCAAAUUAUAACAAUAAUAAACAUGUAAUGCAUAAAUCAUACAUACAAAUUUAAAUUCAAAUUUCAUAUUUCAACAAUAACAAUUCAUCAAUUAAUAUCAUAUAUCCACAAUUUUAAACUUGGACACAUCAUGAACCUUAGGUUCAUUCCUCAAUUUCAUAUCACAUUUCAAUUCACAAUUUAACUUUUUCAUCUCAUUUCAGUAGCUCGAUUGAUCAACUCAUUCGGUUUAUCAUUUCAUUAUUUACCUUAUUAACAAAAUUCAGACUUUGGAGGAUACACGGAUCCAACCAAACACUCCAGUAUGGCACCCAAUGCCUCAUCAGAUAGUUCGAAGUAAUAGUUGACACCCAGUGUCUCAUCGGCAAAGCUGAAAAAAGUUAGUACCCAGUACCUCUUCAAAUCUAUCCGAAGAAAUAUAGUGACACCCAGUGUCUUAUCGACUCGUGGUCAAAGUAUCCCGGAACUCUUCCAAUCCUAUGACAUGCCAACUAUAUCCGACUCAGCUCGACUAGUUAAUAGGGUCUCCAAAUUCACAUUUCAAUUCAAUUCCACUUUUUCACUUUCAAUCACAAUUCAAUUCAAAAUUCACUUUUCUAUUUUUUUUUCAAAUCAAUAUUCAAUUCAAUUCCACAUAUAUAUUCAUCAUUCGAUUGAAUUUCUUUAACUUAAUAAUAAUACUUACCUUAUAUUUCACUUACCAUAAAUAUAAAUUUAAAUAUAGCAUUUAAUAGUAAGUUAUUUGAAUUAUAUUAAUACAAACCUGAAAUCCGCGAUUACUCCUCGAUGAUUUUCUUUUUUCCUUUCUAUGCCGAUGGCUCGAGUUCUUUACUAGCUACGAAAAAUUAAGAUAAUUUCGCAAUCAACAAUACACUAUUAAUUUAUAUCUAAUUAAUUGAAUUUCUAUUCAAUUUUCUACUUUAAUUUCAAUUUAGUCUUAACUAAAUUCACUUAUUUUUCUAUCUCAAUUCAUACUUUAUUUCAAUUCAAAUUUCAACCAAACUUAGACAUAACUAUCUAAAUUUUUAUCAUAAAACCCUAAUUUCAAAAUUCUUGCAAUUUAGUCUCCACUAUGUAGAACUAUUAGCUUCUUUUACAAUUUAAUCCUUCAAUCAAUUCUAACUAAAAAUUCAUUCAAUUAAACCUCUAAUUCAACAAUUUGUUUAACAUAUAUCAUGUUCAAAAACCUAAAGAAAACUUCCAAAACCUCAACUUGAUUUCAACAAAACUCUAUUCUAAAGCUUCUAAAACAUCAAAAUUGAAAGAAAAGGGCUUAAUUGACUUACCUAUUACAAAAGGACUUUAGAGGAAAAAGGAUGCCAAAUUAGGAAGGACCUUACGUGGUAAAGAAUGCCUUUUCUAAAGGAGCGUUGAUAUUAACCAAGAUGGAUGGCAAGAACCUGCCUAAUCCUGUGAAUUCGGAUUCAGUCAAGAAGUACUUCACCUAAAAAAAAGGGAGAGGCCAAGGCAAAAACCCGCAAAUGGCGCCUUGAGACCAAAGGGGUUUUGAAUUGAAAACCCAAGAAAAGGGCAAUUCAAAUUUUGAUCAAAGGUGGGGCAUACGGUAGUCUUACUAUGCCUGAAUUAGCAGGAAGGAUGGAUGCUACAUCUUGGGACAUCAACAAAAUACUCUGGAUCUUCUAAACACGUAUCAAGUUUAAAGGGCCCUCGAGAAGUUUUGUGUAGAAAAGCUCAUGCUACGAUAUCUGAGGCACCUAUUUUCAUCUUAUUCAUUUCGUAUCUUAGCAAAAUUUGCUAUCUUGAUUAAUUCAUUCAUUUCAAACUUUGCUCUCAAUAAAAUUUCAUCUUGUCCAUUGUACUAAUCUUGUUCAAGCAUUUUUCAUUGAAAUAACGAUUAAUGGACUAAUAAUAUUCAAGCAGAAAGAGAUUUGCAUAUUACUCUGAAAGCUUCUAAAUAGUACGAGAACCUGAAACAUGACUAUUAUUUAGAACUCACCAAACCUAAGGGUUGGAAAUAUUGAGAAAGAAGAUUCUAAAUUGUGACUAUUUCUUUAGAUUUUCUGUCAAAGAUAUCAGCUGAAGAAGAAGACAGGAUAUUGCGUCAAUGAUAGAAUCUUGAUAAACAACGAGCAAUAAUAACCCAGACAUUAAAAAAGGAUCAUUCUCAUGACAUUCUGCAUUCAUACAAAUAUCAUUCAUAUACAUCCAAUUAGGAGCAUUUGAUUCAUUCUGAUCAUGACAUCCUAAUCAUUUGGCACAAACAUAGGCCCAUGAAAUGAAUUUUACAGGUCAUGUUAUCCAGAGAAUAGUGAAAUAGAUCAAUGGAGUUACAAAUCCCAUACCCCUGAAGUUACAGUGGGAUAGAUUGAAGUCAUUAUGGCGAAUCUUAUCUUCCUGAAAUUGCAGUGGAAUAGAUUGAAGCCACCAGCCUUAUCUCCCUGAAGUUGCAGCAGAGCAGACUAAAGAUAGCGAAUCUUAUUUCCCUAAAGUUGCAGUGGAAUAGAUUGAAGCUAAAUUGCAGAUCUUAUCUCUCUGAAGUUGCAGUAGAGUAGAUCAUAGCUAACCUUAUCUCCCUGAAGUUGUAAUAGAGCAAGUUGAAGUUAUAGGUCUUAUCUCCCUGAAGUUGCAGUGGAGCAAACUAAGGGUAGCAAAUCUUAUUUCCCUGAAGUUGCAGUGGAACAGAUUAAAAGCUACAAAUGACAAGUCUUAUCUCCCUGAAGUUGCAGUAGAGCAAACUAAAGAUAGUGAAUCUUAUCUCCCUGAAGUUGUAGUGAAGCAAGUUGAAGACAACAAAUCUUAUCUCCCUGAAGUUGUAGCAGAGUAGAUUUAGGCUACAAUUCUUAUACCCCUAAAGUUGCAGUGGGUUAGAACAAGGCUACUUGAAGAAGAGGAACACCAAAGAAGUUGAGAUUUGGCGAGACCGGGCAAAAUUGGUCACUCUUAAAAGUCUUUACUCCAUUCUCGUUACACAACGACGAGCAAAGAGGGGCAGCUGUAAUGAUCCAUUUUUGCCCGGACCCAAAACUAAAUAAAUAAAACCCAAAAUAAAAAAUAAACAGUCCAUAGUCAAAAAAAUUACAAGCCCAAAUGCCCAAUAAUAAUAAAAAAACCUAAAGGCCCGAUUGUCCCACAACUUAAACAUUUCAGCAAAAACCCUAACUCCCCCAACCCUAGGUGCGCCGCACCUAGGUACACCCCUAGCCACCGUUGCAUGCACACCAGCCUCCUCACGCGCGCUACCACCGCUGCACGCCAUCACCAUGCUCGUCUAACACUUCCAAAAAAAAUUUGAAUGCAACAACAGAGAAGUAUGCGAGCAACAAUAGCAGUAAAUAGCAAACAGACAAAGAUUAGAAACAAACAGUCUUGAUCCGGCUAUAAAAGACUAAAUUACACAAUGUGUUGUUUAGGUUAAUUUUUUUAUAAUAAAGACUAAAUGGAUAUAAUUUAUAAAUGUUGAGGGUUAAAGUCGUUAUCAUGUCAAUUUUAAAAGUAUCCACCUUUAGCCAACUGGUGGCCCAAAAAGAUAAAAUUAAAUAGUUAUGAGAUUAUUUUUUAACUUUUCAUAGUUGAAUGACCAAAAAAGAUACUAUUACUUACGUGAUUACUAGUGUAAAUUACCCUUAUUAUUAUUAAAAGAAAUAAAUUCAUUAAUAUUGCUAGUUCAUGUGCUACCCAUUAUCAAACCUUCUUGCGUGGUGAAAUAGACAUAAUUUGUUGAGGGAUAAAAACAAUAUAAAUAAUAUUUUUCAUCUUAUUAUAGAGUAUUUUUAAAUUAAAUAUUGUUGAACAACUUUUAACUUUUGGAAAAAAAUAUUUGAAGUGUCGUUUGUUGGGCAUCUAGUCAAAUUCUCAACAAUGGUUAGUAAUGUUCCAAAUAAGGUUUUGCCUUUUGUAUUUGCCAAAGGUCCUAAAGGGUUCAUGAAAGGGGAACAUCUCAUUUGGUAGAAAUACAACAUGCAUUGCUCAUGUAAGAAUCCAUUUUUAGUGGUACUGGAAACGACGGUUUCAGAAUCUCAUUUUUUGAUGAUUGAGUUUGUGAAUAUUAUUUUCUAAUAUUUACGAGUUUAUCUUAGUGUCAUAUGAUUUUUUGUCCUGAAAUUUUAGUGAAACGAUUAGUAAUUAAAGUAUAAGGACUAAACCAUAAAAACCUUAAAGAGUUAAUUGUUAUUAAUUUUAUUGGUUUAAAGGCUUGAAAAGUAUUAAGCCAAGUGUUGAAAUGGCAAAUUACUCUUUUUAAUAGAUAGUGUACGGUUUGGUAAGCUUUGUUUACUAAAUCAUGCAAAUUUUAUAAUUAAUAAAAUAAAAUGACAUGAGAUAAUAAUAGAACAUAUUGAAGUGGAACGAAAGAGGGAAGGGCUAUUUCAUUUUUUUCCUUUUUUCAUUCAUCUUCUUCACGAAACAAGAAGAAAGAAUUAGGGAUCUUAAAGUCGAAAUUUUGGCCUUGUGCAUGGUACGAAAAUUUAAUUCUUUUCUUGUAAUUUUUAUAUUUUUGAGAUCGUUUUAUUUUGAUUUAGAUAACUCGGGUAUUAAAUCGUAAAACUAUUAAAGUUUUAAAAAGUUACCAUUGUUGUUCUUUGAAGCUUUUGAUGUUCAAUAGAUGAAUGUUAAGCUUGGAAAUGAAAUGGGGACUAGUUUGUAAAGAAAAAUUGGUUAAUUUUGACUCUAGGAACUAAAAUGCAAUUAUUUCAAAACUAUCAUGGAAUUUCUAUACUUAUGGCUUUUAGUGAGUUAUAAAAUGAAUAAAUUAAAAACGGAGUUAAAAACAGAGCUUAAAUGUGAAUGAUAUGAUUGUUUCAGUUUUAAGAACUAAAUUGAAUAAAAUGUGAAACUUUAAAAUUUUAAAAAAAAUAAAGAAAAUAGAUCCAUGCAUAUCAUAUUAUGAUAUUAAAUUUUUGGAAUUGAUAAAUUAAAUUAGAAUUAUUAUAUAGAUCAAGAAUUAAAUCAAUCGAAAUAUAAAAGCAGAAAAAAAUUAUAGAUUAAUUUUAGAAUCAUAUUUAAGUAAGUUCAUAUGUGUUAAUUUAUAUUGUAUUUGUUUCCCUCUCUACAUGGGGAACUUUAUGAUGUUUGGUUUCUUCUUUGAACCAAAAGAAAAGCUAAGAAAAAGAGAAAAAUUAAAGAUAAAGGUGAGGCAAUAAAAGUUACAGGUGAGACAAUAAGGCAAAUCUGAUUAUAUGAUCUACAAUUUACAAAGUAGGGUUAGAGUGAUUAUAAGUGUCCUAUAAAAUAUAAUAAAAUAUUAAAUAUAAAUUUAUAAAUUAAAUUAGAUACAGAACAAUUUUUCAAGUUUACUUGUGGAAUUGAAAAAAGUAUAUUACCAAUUUACACAAUACUCAUAAUUGCUGUUAUAUUAUUAUAAUAUACUUGAAAUUCAAAAAGAUUUUUUUAUUGAAAAAAAAUAAAUACUAAUUAGUUAUGUAUCCAGUUUUAUUUUCUUAUACCAUUAGGAAAAGACAAGUGAAGAAGAAUCGUCCAUAAAUUUGCAGUUAAUAGUUAAUGGUUCCAAUUUAUUUGUCCUGAAUUUUGACUUUUGUAACUGAGAAUCCACAUUUUCUUUUUCAAUAGAAAAGAAAGGGAAAGUUUUUAGAUAUUGUGUGUCUUGAGAAACUAUAACCAAUUGAAGGUAUGGACAUUAGAAAAGAAAGGGAAAGUUUUUAGAUAUUGUGUGUCUUGAGAUACUAUUGUAAUACCCCGAAAAUUUCUACAGUAAGGAAAGUAAGAUAAUAUCUCUGAUAUAGUAAAAUAAGAAAAUAAAGUGCUAAAAAGGGAUAAUUUUGAGUUAUGGCAAUAUUGGGAAGUAAAUUAUAACAUAUUAAUUCAAGAAAGGAUUAAAUCGCAAAACUGAGAAAAGUUUUGUUACCCAAGAGUAAAUACUUAAAAGUUGAGGGGUUAAAGUGUAAAUAUGAAAAAGUUGAAGGACCAAUGGUGUUAAUAUUUUAAGGGUGGAAUAAUCUAGAAACUAAGAAAAAUGGAUGGAUUAGGAGCAAAUUGAAAAAGGUGAAGAAGUUUGAGGGACUAAAUCACAAUUUUACCAAAUUAAGUGAUGACUCAAGGAUGAAAUUUUAAAAGAUCAUAAAGGGCAAAAUGGUCAAUUAUAAGAGAGAGAAAUCUAGAAGAUAAUGAUGAUGUUGGAGAUAUUUUAGAUUAAUAAAUAAAUAAAUAAAUAUUAGUUUAUUAAUAUUUUAAUUUGAUUUUUUUAAAAUGAUAUUAUUUUAUUAUUAAUUUAUUUAGUAUAUAUAUGUGGAAAGAAGGAUGAAAAGUAGCCAUCCCCACCUUUUUUGCAUGCAUUAACGUGAGAAGAAGAGGGGAAGAAAGAAAGCUUUGCUUUCUUUACAAUUUGGUCCUUUCACCAAAAAUCCACCAUUUUUACUUAGAAAUCAAAGAAAUUUCCAUUGCCACCAAGAGAGAAAAUUGACAAAGAGACUAUGGGGAGCUAGAAUAUCAAGUUAGAUUCAAGAAAUAGAGGCUGGAGGAGAGAGAAAAUCAAGUUAAAGAUUGAAGUCAAUUGAGCAAGGUAAGAACAUCAUGAUUUCAAUAUAUUUUUGAGUUUGAUAUUAUCGAAAAAGUGUGAGAUUGAUGUUAAUGUAGGGUUUUAUUAUAUAAAGUUAUAUGUUCUUGAUAUGUUAGUGAAGAGAAAAUAAGAAAAAGUGUUGAGAAAUAGUGUAAAAAAAAAAGAAAAUAAGAGUGUUAUAGACUUAGUAAUCAAUAUUCUCCACUAAAGCAGUUUUGGAUAGUAGCAGUAGGUUAACUUUGAAAAAUCACCAUAAAUUGUGGAAAUCGAAUUAUAGGAUGAAUAAAAUAUGAAAUUAAAGCUUAUUGAGUCUAGUUUCACAUAGAAGAAACAGUGUAAGCAAUGAAAUUAUAAAUUAUGAGAUAUAAUAGGUUAUGUGAGAUACAGUCAGAAUGAUUUUGAGUUCCCCUGUUCUGACUUUGGAAAAUCAUUAAAAAUUUUAAAAAAAUAAUUAUGGGAUAAACUUUAUAUUAUUAGAAUCCUUGAUGAGUAUAUUUUCAAAUAAAACAAAUAGAAAUAUCAUCCGAAUUCUGUACAAUUAGAUAAUUCAUUUUUAGUGAAGAGUGGUUGGAACUAUCAGACAGUGAAACAGGGGAAACUUUAAAGAAUAAACUGUACCAUUUGGCUGAACCAAAAAUUCUGAAAAUUUUAUGGCAAGAAUAUAUGUGAGUCUAGUUUCAGGUAAUUAACGGAUCUUAAUUUGGAUUUCUGUAGCUCAAGAUACAAAUAAUUUAGUGACUAUGACUCAAAUGGACAGCUUUGAAUAAAUUUUCAAGAAAAUAGUGAAAAUUAUAGACAAUAUUACUUAUAAGCAUGUUAUAUAAAUUAAGGAUGUGGAAUGGAAGAGGAGGAGGAGGAAAAUAAAUGUAUGAAUAUUAUGCUAUCAUGGAUUUGCAUUACAAAUGGCUAAUUUGCAUGAUUUGGGUUCGAGGACUAAAUUGAAUAAAAGUAAAACUUUAGGGGUAAUUUUGAAAAAAUGUCAAAAAUGACCAAUUUGCAUGAAAUGAGUUGUUUUAUUAAAAUGAAAAAUUAAUUUAGAUCAAGAUCGGGUAGAAAAUCGAGAAAAUGAAAAAUUACCAAAAUGCUCUUGUAUUUUAGUAUUUUUACAAUUUAGCCCGGUAAGUUCGUGUAUCUUGAAUUAUAUGUUUAAAUGCUUGAAAUGUAUUUUUAUUGAUGUGAAUAUGAUUUGGAUGUUUAUUGUAUGAUAAUUGAUGAAGUAUUGAUAUUCUUGAUGAAAAGAGAAAAUAAAUUUCGGUUGAAUGAAAGGAAAAUUCGAUGGAUCUCUGAAAAGGAAUUGACGGUAAAAAGGAUCUAGCCCGGACGGGUGAUCCUAUCCUGAUAUAGCCCUCCUGAAGAAUAUGUGUGAAAAAGAUCUAGCCCGGACCGGUGAUCUUGAUAUAGCCCUCCUGAAGAAUAUGUGGAAAAUGGAUUUAGCCCGGACGGGUAAUCCAAAUUAGGGUCUGAAUUUAGCCUGGACUGGUAAGUCAAAUCCAAGCUCAUUAGAGUAAUUUUCGUUGCAGGGGAUUUAGCCUGGACUGGUAAUCCCGACAAUACUCUAUGAAUUUAUAUUACAGGGGAUUUAGCCUGGACUGGUAAUCCCGCUGUAAGGAUGAGGUUCGCGGGAGUGUGCUAUCUUGCAGGGGAUUUAGCCUGGACUGGUAAUCCCGCUGUAAGGAUGAGGUUCACAGGAGUGUGCUCUCUGAAAUGGAAAUGUGCGCACAUGAAUAUGAAUUGACGGACCCGGAAUUGUACACUAAAAGUGUACCUCUAAAAAUCCAUCGAAUUUCUGAGAAAUUCAACGGGAUAAAUAUGGAAAAUAAUAAGGGUAUUAGAAAAUAUGGAAUUGAAUUAUUAUUGGUAUUGAUCUGAAAUAAAUGUAACCAUUGAUAUUUAAAUGAUAUAACGGGUAAAGUUUUAAAGUGAGAUAACAUGAAUUUGAAAUGAACUAUUACUGGUAUGUACAAAAUUCAUGAAAAUGAUGGUACCUGAAUUAUCGAAAUAAUGAAAUGGAAAUGAAGCAUUAAAUUGCAUGAGUAUGUAUCGGGUUUCGUAGGCCCUAAUUAUUAUGAUCAUAAUAUUUUGAGGAUAUAUUAUGAAAAAUUAUAAAAGCAUGUUAAUAAUUUUGAAAAUUUUAAUUUAGAUGAAAUUUAUAACUCAGUUAAAUACGUUUACAUUCGUAUGGGUUCUGGUAAUGCCUCGUACCCUAUUUCGGUGUUGACUACGGGUAAGGGGUGUUACAACUAUAACCAAUUUAUUUUCUUAUACCAUUAGAAAAAGACAAGUGAAGAAGAAUUGUCCAUAAAUUUGCGGUCAAUAGUUAAUGGUUCCAAUUUAUUUGUCUUAAAUUUUGACUUUUGUAACUGAGAAUCCACAUUUUCAAUAGAAAAGAAAGGGAAAGUUUUUAGAUAUUGUGUGUCUUGAGAUACUAUAACCAAUUGAAGGUAUGGAUCCGAUCUAAAAAUGAAAAAGAAAAGGGAGAUACUCUCCUUUUUUUUGUUUGUAGCCUUCUGGCGACAUGGCCGAGCGGUAAGGCAGGGGACUACAAAUCCCUUAUUCCCCAGUUCAAAUCCGGGUGUCGCCUGAUCAACAAAAAACUCGAAAUCUUAACGUCUCCUAACGUCUAGGAUUCAAGGAAAAACUAAAGUAGUGGAAGGGAAUCAAUAAAUCUUGAUAUGGGAGCCCCCCUUACUAAUGGAGUGGCUACUAGAGGAGUCUUGAAUUAGAUUGGAUAACAGGAAUGUCUAAUUAACACAACAUUUAAAAGUGUAUUAUAAAAAAAAAAGUACACACACAAUAUUCAACACAACAAUUUUUCUGAUUUUAAUGUUCAACCCUGACGUAGGGCCUCCUUGAUCAUUCUAUCAAAGUUGGUAAUAGAAGAUCCUCCAACGCUAAUGGCAGAUUUAGCUUUUUUCUUCCAUUCCAAUGCCUUUUGCCUUAUCCUUUGCCCAUUAUCUCCUUCCAUUAUCUCUUUAACAAGAGCCUCCACAUCCUUACGCUUUACGUCAGGGUUGAUUUCCAUUCCAUUGCCCCAUGUGGUGCACGAAUAUCGACAAUUCGUUUGUUGAUCACCAAAGAAAGGCCAACAUAUUAAAGGCACUCCUUCGGACACAGCUUCCAACAGAGAAUUCCAUCCACAAUGUGUCAAGAAAACGCCAAUUGCUAGGUGGGACAACACUUGCUGUUGGGGACACCAGCUUGUUAUGAAGCCCUUUCCUUUUAUUGCCUCCAUGAAUUCUCUUGGCAAAAUAGCCGAUUCGCCCAUCACAACACCAGGCCUAAUUACCCAUAAAAACGGGUAUUUACUAUUUGCAAGUCCCCAAGCAAAUUCUUCCAAAUGAUGGUUAGACAUCACUGUUACACUCCCAUAAUUCACAUACACCACCGACUUGGGUUUCAUUGUGUUAAGCCAUUCGAUGCAACUUGUAUCCUCCUUCCAUAGGCUUGAAUUUAGUGAGUUAUGUUGGAUUUCAAGUAGGUUCCUACUUAGGGAGGUGAGUGGACCAAUUGCAUAAAUAUUAGGGGACUUGGAAGCAAUUACUUGUAGCACUUCUUUCUCGAACUCAUCGAAUGUGUUAAAGAUUAUUGAAGAAGAUUCUAAGCAUUCUUGUGAUACUUCCAUGAGGUAAUUAAACAUGGUGUCUUCGGGGUCGGUGGUUCUUAUGAAGCUUGGAAGGUCCUUGAGGCGCAUGUUAGGCAUACCAGGGAUCCAAUCAAUGGCCAUCUCAAGUGUCCCAUCGCUAACAAAGCCUUCAUCUACAAGGAAAAUAAAACGCAUAUUUUUGUUUCAAUAUGCAAAAGAAUAUGCAUGGACGUGCGUGUAACAUAUAGAACCUCAAAGAGAUUAUUAUGAAUGAACAUAAAGCACAAAGAAAACAUAAAAUUUGUAACCGGAAAUCAGGCAGACCCUUAACUGCUUCUUCCCCUCUAGACCGUAUCAAUCGUCUAUGAUUGAACUCGGUGUUGACAAAGGUUAUAUGGAAGCCUCUAGAGUGCAAGAGCUUGGCCAGUUGCAUCAUGGGGUUAACAUGACCUUGUGCUGGGAAUGGAAGACAUACUGCAUGCGAUUUAAUUAAACCCAUCUUUCUGCAAAUAAUAACUAAGCAAUGAAGUCAAGUAGCUGGUGAAAAUUGAAGAUACUAUACAUGAGUAUUCCUUCCUAACUAGUGGCGGGGAUAAAGAAAAACAGGAUAACGCUGUUGGUAAUUAUGGUGUAAAAUAAUUGUCAUUGGACGAGGUUGAGAAAAUAUCAGCUGCUUCUUAAGAAUUUUGAUAGGUUGCUGCAUUCGCAAGAGAAAUGAUAGUAUGACGUCAUCUUUAUCUCUUUCCAAUAGGAGAAUUAUAAAUUAGAUUUUUUCUUGAUUUUUAGCAAUUUUAGUUAGAUUUGAUUUUUGUUAGGAAAAAAAAUUAAAAAUCAAGAGAAAAAAUUCUGAUUUAUCAUUCUCCAAUUAGAAAAAUAUAAGGAAAUCACAGUUCAUACAAUCCCUUCUCGUAUUGGUAAUAAAAAAUUUUAAAUUGUCCUUAGUAGUUUACUUUUGAAAUUCACAAUAAUUAAAUUGCUUUAAUUUUUUUAGAGAGACCAAUUUGUUCAAUAUUGAAAUUGAGAAGGACUGGAGCGGUCUUUUUACCUUUUUCUUUUUUGUCUUAAAAUUUGUUUUAAAUAUAUAUAAUUGUUUUAAAAAUAAAUAUAUAAUUAUAUAAUACAUAAAUACUUAAAAAUAAAUCUAUGUAUUUAUUUUUAUCCGAUAGACUAAUAAAAAUAUUUAUUAUAUAAUUCAUAUAAAUUAACUAAAAAUAAAAAUAUUAUUUGGAACAAUAUUAUCAUUUUUAUUUAUUAUAAAUAGAAUUUUAUACACAAACACUUUCAAAGUUAAAAUAAUAUCCUCCUAGUAUGAUGUUAUUAUUUCUCAAAUAACAUUUGGCAUUAUUAUAAAGAAAUGAAUAUAAAAUACAACUUCUUUACUUAUGCUAAUACAUAAAGGUUCAUAAAUUCAUAAACGAGCAAAUAAGAAACUCAUUAAAAAGUUAUAACCUCAAUGGAAAUAUAUGUAUGUGUGUGUAAUACUUGUUACAACAAUCUUUGUAUGCUGGGGUUGUGGUUGUGGUUUAUAACUCAACAUUUAUAAAUUAUGUCAAUUUAGUCUUGAUUUUAAAAAAAUUAACCUCAACUUUUACACAUUGUGUAAUUUGAUCAUUUUUACAAUUUUACUUUACUUUUUUCCCUUUUCACCUAAAAAGCUAAAAAAACCAAAUGUAUCAAUUAAAUUUAAUUAAAAAUAUAUAAUAAAAACAAGAUGAAAACACUCAAAAAUUUAAGAUAAUAAUUUUCAUAUUAUUUUAAAAUUAAACCUCAAUGUCACGAAACUACAAAAAAAAAAUUUUAAAAAGAGACCAAAUUAUACAAUGUGUUGUUUAGGGUUAAUUUUUUUUUAGAAUAAAGACUAAAUGGACAUAAUUUAUAAAUGUUGAGGAUUAAAGUUGUUAUUAUGUCAAUUUUGUAAUUUUUCAUAGUUGAACGACAAAAAAAAUACUAUUACUUAAGUGAUUACUAAUUUACCCUUAUUAUUAUUAAAAGAAAUAAAUUCAUUAAUACUGGUAAAACGUUAAAUCAAACAAUGUGUUGCUAUUAACAAAAGCAUAAUGGAGCUCAACAGAGAGGCCCUUCCAUCCAUUCCAACCCUUGCAAGUUCAUGAGCUACCCAUUAUCAAACCUCCCUACGUGGUGAAAUACAUAUAAUUUGUUGAGGGAUAAAAACAAUAUAGAUAAAAACAUUAUAAAUAUUCUUUUUCAUCCUAUUAUAGAGUAUCUUUAAAUUCAAUAUUGUUGAACAACCUUUUAACUUUUUCGAAAAAAGUAUUCCAAGUAUCACUUGUUAAGCAUAUAUGGUUAAAUUUUCAAUAACGGUUAGUAAUAUUCUCAGUAGGGUUUUGUUUUUCGCCUCUAUCAAGGAUCCUAAAGAGUUCAUGAAAGGGGAACAUCUCAUUUAGUGGAAAUACAACUUGCAAUGCUCACGGGAUAAUUAUCAGUGUGUAAUAUUAAUUAUAAGAUACACUUGAGAGCUAAAGGACUCAAACUACUAGCAAAUUAUAUCUCUACCAAUUGAGGUGUCCACUCUUGUACUUUUCAAGAGUCUCCGCGGAGAAAAAAAACAAAACUACUACACAAAAAUAAUAUUUACUAUUGCUAAAAUUUUAAUUAAUUAUCUGAUAAAUAACACUUUAAAACCUCUCUCCAAGGGAUAAGAUCGCCUUCCCAGCAAAUUCAAUACAUUUAAUAUAAUACAAUAGAUUUAUUAUAUAUAUAUAUAGUAUGUGUUUUGCUCUCUACGGAGAGAACUUUAUGAUGAUUGGUUUUUUCUUUGACCCAAAAGAAAAACAAAGAAAGAGAAGACAAAUAAAAAAUAAAAGUGAGGCAAUAAAAGUAACAGGUGAAACGACAAAGGAAAUCACAUUAUGUUCUACAAUUUGGCACAUUAUAUUAAAAAAUAAUACUUUUCAAUAAACAUUAUAAUAUGCUUAAUAUAGAAUGAUAUAUUUAUUAAAUGUCUUAUAUUCUUUUUAUAGAUAAGAGAAAGCAAUACACGGUUUUAAAUCAAAUUAUUUAUACAUGAGAAUCAACUAAUAUGUCUUCUAAAAAGAGUCUCCUCACAUAAGGUGUAAGAACAUCAACAUAAAUAAAUUAACAUAUUAGGAAGACAUUAUUUGACUAGUCAAUUAGCAACCUUAUUCCGUUCCCUAUUCACGAAUUGGAACUUGACUGUUAGAACCUGACGAGAUAUUUCCUUGAUUUUCCUAACAAUAGUUAGAGAAGGUGAAAUGUCUUGUACUUAAAUUAUGAUAUUUGGUAAUGAGAUUUUGGGCAUGAGACUUUCAGAAAUUUAAAUUUUCUGGAUUCAUCUUGACAUUUGAUAAUUUAUUUUGUAUUUAUAUUUAAGGAGAUAUUUUGUACAGGGUUAAUUGGGUUGUUGGACUUUAGAAGUAGGUUUAGAGUAAUGAUAAGGAUCCUAUAACCUAUAGUAAAAUAUUAAAAAAUAAAUUUAUAAAAUAAAUUAAAUACAUAACAAUUUUUUUAAAUUUACUUGUGGAAUUAAAAAAAAAGUAUAAUAUUGAUUUAUCAAAUGCUAACUCAUUUAUUUAAUAGUAUAAUAUAAAAUUAAGAAAAACAUACACAAAACAUACAACACAACAGUAUUCUGAUUUUAAUGUUCAACCUUGACGUAGGGCCUCCUUGAUCAUUCUAUCAAAGUUGGUAAUAGAAGAUCCUCCAACACUAAUGGCAGAUUUAGCUUUUUUCUUCCAUUCCAAUGCCUUUUGUCUUAUCCUUGGCCCAUUAUCUCCUUCCAUUAUCUCUUUAAUAAGAGCCUCCACAUCCUUACGCUUUACGUCAGGGUUGAUUUCCAUUCCAUUGCCCCAUGUGGUGCACGAAUAUCGACAAUUCGUUUGUUGAUCACCAAAGAAAGGCCAACAUAUUAAAGGCACUCCUUCGGACACAGCUUCCAACAGAGAAUUCCAUCCACAAUGUGUCAAGAAAACGCCAAUUGCUGGGUGGGACAACACUUGCUGUUGGGGACACCAGCUUGUUAUGAAGCCCCUUCCUUUUAUUGCCUCCAUGAAUUCUCUUGGCAAAAUAGCCGAUUCGCCCAUCACAACACCAGGCCUAAUUACCCAUAAAAACGGGUAUUUACUAUUUGCAAGUCCCCAAGCAAAUUCUUCCAAAUGAUGGUUAGACAUCACUGUUACACUCCCAUAAUUCACAUACACCACCGACUUGGGUUUCAUUGUGUUAAGCCAUUCGAUGCAACUUGUAUCCUCCUUCCACAGGCUUGAAUUUAGUGAGUUAUGUUGGAUUUCAAGUAGGUUCCUACUUAGGGAGGUGAGUGGACCAAUUGCAUAAAUAUUAGGGGAUUUGGAAGCAAUUACUUGUAGCACUUCUUUCUCGAACUCAUCGAAUGUGUUAAAGAUUAUUGAAGAAGAUUCUAAGCAUUCUUGUGAUACUUCCAUGAGGUAAUUAAACAUGGUGUCUUCGGGGUCGGUGGUUCUUAUGAAGCUUGGAAGGUCCUUGAGGCGCAUGUUAGGCAUACCAGGGAUCCAAUCAAUGGCCAUCUCAAGUGUCCCAUCGCUAACAAAGCCUUCAUCUACAAGGAAAAUAAAACGCAUAUUUUUGUUUCAAUAUGCAAAAGAAUAUGCAUGGACGUGCGUGUAACAUAUAGAACCUCAAAGAGAUUAUUAUGAAUGAACAUAAAGCACAAAGAAAACAUAAAAUUUGUAAC
rnacentral:lncRNA from 1 species